ACGAACGCUGGCGGCGUGCCUCAUACAUGCAAGUCGAGCGGACCAAACAGGAGCUUGCUCUUGUUUGGUUAGCGGCGGACGGGUGAGUAACACGUGGGUAACCUGCCCGUAAGACCGGGAUAACUCCGGGAAACCGGAGCUAAUACCGGAUAACACCGAAGACCGCAUGGUCUUUGGUUGAAAGGCGGCUUCGGCUGCCACUUACGGAUGGGCCCGCGGCGCAUUAGCUAGUUGGUGAGGUAACGGCUCACCAAGGCGACGAUGCGUAGCCGGCCUGAGAGGGUGACCGGCCACACUGGGACUGAGACACGGCCCAGACUCCUACGGGAGGCAGCAGUAGGGAAUCUUCCGCAAUGGACGAAAGUCUGACGGAGCGACGCCGCGUGAGCGAAGAAGGUCUUCGGAUCGUAAAGCUCUGUUGUUAGGGAAGAAGAAGCGCCGUUCGAACAGGGCGGCGCGGUGACGGCACCUAACGAGAAAGCCCCGGCUAACUACGUG
rnacentral:rRNA from 1 species